AAUUUUGGACAAUGGGGGAAACCCUGAUCCAGCCAUCCCGCGUGUGCGAUGAAGGCCUUCGGGUUGUAAAGCACUUUUGUCAGGGAAGAAAUCGUACAGGCUAAUAUCUUGUGCGGAUGACGGUACCUGAGGACUAAGCCACGGCUAACUACUUGCCAGCAGCCGCGGUAAUACGUAGGUUGCAAGCUUUAGUCGGAGUUACUGGGUGUAAAGGGUGCGCCAGCGGUUUAACAAGAAAGGUGUGAAAUCCCCGGGCUUAACCUGUGAAUGGCACUUUUAACUGAUAGGCUAGAGUAUGUAAGAGGGGGGUAGAAUUCCACGUGUAGCAGUGAAAUGCGUAGAGAUGUGGAGGAAUACCGAUGGCGAAGGCAGCCCCCUGGGAUAAUACUGACGCUCAUGCACGAAAGCGUGGGGAGCAAACA
rnacentral:rRNA from 1 species